CUUUGAACAUACAUAUACUACGAAUAAAGUGUAUUUUCAGAAUUUUAUCUGCUAUCAUUUUCAAGUUUACUAUCCACGGCAGUCACAGAGUUUAUUAAGUAGAGAGGGUCUGUAUACUAUAUCAAUGAUCACCAUGGAUCGAUUAGUAAACUUAGAAUUGAAAGUAAAUUCGCUUUAUUUAUAUAGUAAUGAAUGUUCAUAAUAUACAGAUAUGCGCUAAAAUUAUUCAUGUGAACUUUUGAUACUUUUUCUGAAAUUCUCCAGUCAUUAAAUCUUUUACAAAAUUCAUUGAUUACAAAAAAAAGAAGAUGUGGUAUGAUUGCCAUGUUGAGACAACUCUCCACAAGAGACCAAAAUGACACAGAAAUUAACAAUUAUAGGUUACCGUACGGCCUUCAACAAAGAGCAAAGCCCAUACCGCAUACUCAGCUUCAAAAGGCCCCGAAAUGACAAUGUAAAACAAUGCAAACGAGAAAACUAGCGGCCUUAUUUAUGUACAAAAAAAUGAACGAAAAACAAAUAUGUAACACAUAAACAAACGACAACCACUGAAUUACAGGC
rnacentral:lncRNA from 1 species